rnacentral:rRNA from 1 species
UACGUAGGGUGCGAGCGUUGUCCGGAAUUAUUGGGCGUAAAGGGCUCGUAGGCGGUUUGUCGCGUCGGGAGUGAAAACCAUGGGCUUAACUCAUGGCUUGCUUCCGAUACGGGCAGACUAGAGGUAUGCAGGGGAGAACGGAAUUCCUGGUGUAGCGGUGAAAUGCGCAGAUAUCAGGAAGAACACCGGUGGCGAAGGCGGUUCUCUGGGCAUUACCUGACGCUGAGGAGCGAAAGUGUGGGGAGCGAACAGG